rnacentral:rRNA from 1 species
UCCUACCCUUACCCCGUUCCCGUUCGGUUCGGUCCGUUCCGUUCCCGUACCCCCGUAACCCCGUAACCGUAAACCGUAACGUAGGUAGUAACGUUAACGGUUAGGGUUUCGGUUUCGUUCGUUACGUUACCGGUACCCCGGAACCCGGAACGUACGGUCCGGUACCGGUACGUAACCGUAACGGUUAACGUUAACGUACCCGUCCCGGUCGGGUAGGGUACGUACCGACCGACGAGUAGUAGUAACUAACAAGAAGUAGUACGGCGGGCCCGCACAAGCGGUGGAGUAUGUGGUUAAUUCGAUGUCGACGCGGCCG